rnacentral:lncRNA from 10 species
GGGCGUGGCCCCUCAAAGCCGGAAGCCGGGUCUUGGCGGCAGUCGACAGGAUCGCCUGACGCGGGCACAGCGUCCUCCAAGAGGCCACCUUGCUGAGAGGCAGACUUCCCAUCCACAAAAUGGGAUAUUGAUUCCUAAUAAACACCUUGCACCUAAACUCUGUCUUCGUGUCUGCCUGCAUAGAACCCAACCUGCAACACAAAUUCUGAUUCCUGGAGGUCAGGUGUCUGUGCUUUUAGGAGCAGCCGCAAGGUGCUGGGCCACCUGAGUCUGCCAUGCAUGGGCCACGGGCUCCUACCGACCCUCCUGAUGCUCACAGCCCUGGCACUGGGGUUGGGCAGUGGGGACAGGACACAACAGUGCUGCCAAUCCCUGAUGCCCAUGCUCAAGACCAUGAGAGGAGGAAAGACCAAGAUGACGAAACUCAGGCUCAGAGUGGUGAACUGGCUCGCCCAAGGUGACAGAGCUGAGUUCCAGAGAUGGAACUCAGAUCCGUCUGCUUCAGAAUUUGUGCCCUUUCUUGGACAGGACAAAGCAGUUUGUGGAGUUCCAGUUUGUAGGUGAUGACACUGAGAUUUGCACCUUGAUCAGCCCAGCCCUGAGGUCUGCACUUUUUGGGGACAUAAGAGAAUCUUCCUGCUUUGCUUUUGGCUUGGGCCACACCAGCCAGACAGGACUCCAAGGAGUCAGGGCUGCGGAGUCUGGUGAUCAGGGAAGCCUUCCUGGAGGCAACAGUCAAGUUGAAACUCAGAAGAUACAAGGAACAGCCAUGAGAAGAGUGAAGAGGAAGAUGUUCCAGGCAGAGGGAACAGCGUGUGCAAAAUCCCUAG